ACCAGGGCCCAUAGGGAACAGGAAAGGGUAGAGAUAGGAGGAGAGAGAUAUAGGAGAGGGUAGAGGUAGAGGUAGGAGGAGAGGGUAGAGAUAAGAUGAGAGGGUAGGGGUAGAGGUAGGAGAGGGUAGAUGUAGAGGUAGGAGGAGAGUGUAGAGGUAGGAGUAGGAGGAGAGGGUAGAUGUAGAAGUAGGAGGAGAGGGUAGGGGUGGAUGUAGGAGGAGAGGGUAGAGGUAGAGGUAGGAGGAGAGGGUAGAGGUAGGAGGAGAGGGUAGAGGUAGGAAGAGAGGGUAGAGGUAGAGGUAGGAGGAGAGGGUAGGGGUAGGAGGAGAGGGUAGGGGUAGGAGGAGAGGGUAGAGGGAGGAGAGGGUAGAGGUAGGAGGAGAGUGUAGAGGUAGAGGUAGGAGGAGAGGCCCAUUGGGAACAGGAUGUUGUUUGAGACACAGUGGCUGUUCAGGGCAAGGACCAUGUACUGUACAUGUGGUGCACUCAGCCCCUUAUUGGUCAGGUUGGACUGUACUCAGCCCCUGAUUGGUCAGGUUGGACUGUACUCAGCCCCUGAUUGGUCAGGUUGGACUGUACUCACCCCUUGAUUGGGCAGGUUGGACUAUACUCACCCCUUGAUUGGGCAGGUUGGACUGUACUCACCCCUUGAUUGGGCAGGUUGGACUGUACUCACCCCUUGAUUGGGCAGGUUGGACUGUACUCACCCCCUGAUUGGGCAGGUUGGACUGUACUCACCCCCUGAUUGGGCAGGUUGGAUUGUACUUAGCCCCUGAUUGGGCAGGUUGGACUAUACUCAACCCCUGAUUGGGCAGGUUGGACUGUACUCACCCCUUGAUUGGGCAGGUUGGACUGUACUCAACCCCUGAUUGGGCAGGUUGGACUGUACUCACCCCUUGAUUGGGCAGGUUGGACUGUACUCACCCCUUGAUUGGGCAGGUUGGACUGUACUCAACCCCUGAUUGGGCAGGUUGGACUGUACUCACCCCCUGAUUGGUCAGUUUGGACUGUACUCACCCCCUGAUUGGUCAGGUUGGACUAUACUCAACCCCUGAUUGGGCAGGUUGGACUGUACUCACCCCCUGAUUGGUCAGGUUGGACUAUACUCAACCCCUGAUUGGG